CCUACGGGAGGCAGCAGUGGGGAAUAUUGGACAAUGGGCGAAAGCCUGAUCCAGCCAUGCCGCGUGUGUGAAGAAGGCCUUCGGGUUGUAAAGCACUUUCAGUGGGGAAGAAAGCCUUGGGGCUAAUACCCUCGAGGAAGGACAUCACCCACAGAAGAAGCACCGGCUAACUCCGUGCCAGCAGCCGCGGUAAUACGGAGGGUGCGAGCGUUAAUCGGAAUUACUGGGCGUAAAGCGCGCGUAGGCGGUCUGAUAAGCCGGUUGUGAAAGCCCCGGGCUCAACCUGGGACGGCAUCCGGAACUGUCAGGCUAGAGUGCAGGAGAGGAAGGUAGAAUUCCCGGUGUAGCGGUGAAAUGCGUAGAGAUCGGGAGGAAUACCAGUGGCGAAGGCGGCCUUCUGGACUGACACUGACGCUGAGGUGCGAAAGCGUGGGUAGCAAACAGGAUUAGAUACCCCGGUAGUC
rnacentral:rRNA from 1 species